CCCUCCUGCUGAUCUAGGGUUUCUUGAGUUGGAUCUUUCAAGUGCCUCCAAUCAGAUGUCCAGUGGGAACGUCUUUGCAGCUGCUCAUGGCAGCUCCAGGGUCAAUGGUAUUCCCAGACACAGCAGCACAGCACUCCAGGUGGAAACAGAGGAAGAAAGAGAGGUGUCCCUUGCAGUUUUGAAUCCCUUCUCUUCCUCAAAUCAGUGUCAGGAGUCAACAGGUGUGUAGAGCACAGGUCCACACAGGAAGCAUGAGACAGUGGUGCUGGGACACGACAGGAGGUGAUGAGCAUUUUCAGAAGAGCUCAUGCUAUGAGUGCUGAGAUCCCACUAGUAUAGGAAAUCCUGGUGCCUGUCAGGAUGUAGGUGACUGUCGACAGAAGUUAAAUAGGCCAGAGUUCUGCAGUUGCUCCUAGAAGAUGUCAAAAAUUACCUGUUGUUGAAUAGAGAAGCAGAGGCAAGCAGAGCUCUGUACGAUUGAGGACAACCUGCCUGGUGUGUCCAUUAAAGAGAAAGGAUACUGAUAGGAUUCGAGUCUAGACCUGCACUCUGUGGAUGAUACCUCGAGAAUCAGAUGCUGUCAGCAGAUGCGACUGGGCACGGUAGUGUGCAGCUGAAAUUGCAGACAUUCGGGUUCCUGGGUGAGCUUAGGAAGUGUCUCAAAAAUGGACAGCACUGCAGGACUGGCAAAGACUGAACAUUCUAUGGUAGAAGAGUUUGCUCCCAUAUAACCGACAGAGACCCAACACAUGAUGGCACAAUGAACCCAUAGUUCUUUGAAGACAGAGCAAAUUUUCCCUUUGUGGGUGCUGAAGAUGUCUGGGUACUUGCUGCAAUGAGAGAGGCAGUAGAAUUCAUUGCAUGUCCCUGCUUUGUGAACACUCAAGAUUGCUGCUCUGUUUCAUUACUCAUACACUGCAUCUACGGGGAGCUCUGUGUCAUCAUUACAACCUUUGAGAAUUCACUGCUGGUCCAGUGUCAAGAAUGAACGGCGAGAGGACAAGUGAGAAUCUAAGUACUCAGUGAGACCGAGCAUUGAAGGCUGAGAAGUAAGGGGCUGGCAGUUGAUAACAAGCUGAUUUCUGAAAGCUCAACCUGGGGUGUGGAAGAGGAGCUAAAAACGAACCAGUUGUGAAGCCUCAGAUCCCUUCUGCAUCACCUCUUUAGGACUCAACUGCCCUCUUUGCAAAAGUUGGGAAUUCACAAGCAUCACAACAGACCUUUGAAGAUAGAGUGGGCAAGAGCCAGUCCCCUGAGAUUCAGCAUUUGUUCAUUUAACAAAUAUUUUCCAUCUCAUAUAUGCCACUUUAUUAACCUUGUGGAAUGGAAAGAAAACACAACCCCCAGCCCUUACUUUUGAACUUACUUUAAAAGCCUUAUGAAUUAGGGAGAAUGUUGUGAGCAUUUAAACAACUAAGGUAAAUGGUAAUGAAAAUGAUAAUACAAAAAUUGUCAUGGCUGGCAAUGGAGGUUCAAGCCUAUACUUACACAAGUGAGAGAGUCAAGAAGAUCACAACCCCAAGACCACUCUAGUCUACAUAGUAUGUUUGAGACCAGUUAGGGGUAUGCAAUGAGACCCUGUGUCAACAAAGCAAAACAAAACAAAACAAAACAAAACAAAACAAAACAAUGGAAUGAGCAGAGACAAUAUGAGAUCAAGCUCUUGAAGAAUGGGGUUUAUGAAGCCCCUUGCUGUUUAAAACCAUCACAUUCCUCAUCCCAAGGAUUAUAGAGGUGAUAAUCCUUUAACACAAGCCUGCUUAACUUGCCAAAUGGACAGCUUCACCAAAAUGGUCAAUCAGGCUCUUUCCUGGAAACUUAAAAGUAAACGACUUUGGUUUGGAUGGUUUCCUUUGUAAAAAAGAGAUGAGAACAUCUGUAACAGUCAUUUUCUACAAGGAACAAGUAAAGACUGUUAGUUUCAGAGAAGAAAAAGGAUGAGCCAAGUCAGUAUGAUGAAAUGGAGACAAGCAGAGCAGAGAAGGCACUCUAGCUCCCUAAUGGACUCUCUUCCUUGUUGGAGUCUCUCUGUUGCUCAGUUUUCUUCCUCCUUGAGGUCAUGAGACACUUAUAUCUGUAAUAGUUCACUUGGCAUCUCACAAGCCUUUAUUCCUUAAAAUUCUGGGGGUUCUGGAUCCAUGUUUGGGAUGCUUUCCUAAGCUCUACCUCCCUGGCCAUGUACAUUACUAUACAUAUGUAUAUAUGUAUAUAUAGUAUAUACACAUAUUCCUACCAAAGACUUUUGGUCCUUCUAAAUGUUCUCACUCUCUUCUUUCAGUCUCCAGAGAUACUUCAAAUAAUUUUUCUUACAUAAACAUUUUGUAAAAUAGGCAUUCUCAUCUUCAUUUCACAGAUAAAUUUAACUUGCUAAGCAAUUAUUUUACCCAACUCCAUGUAUCUACCAAUAGCAGAGCUGUGAUAUGAACUAUUGAGGCAGUGUGACUCCUAAAUGCUUUCUCCUAACCACCAAAUGACCCCCUAUCUCUUUCACUGUGACCUACCACAAGAAGCAUUUCACAGGAUGAUCUGCUUAUGGGGGAGGAGGAGACAGGAGGAUCCCUGAAACUUAUUCGGCAUCUUGUUUUGCCCAUGGCUACAUCCAGCCUGCCACCAACUUCUCUAGGAAUAUUUCUUGACUCUUCCUCUUCAUUCUACAUGGAUAAGAAAGCCUUGUGCUGUAAAUGAUAAGGGCACAAGCUAUAAGGACCCCAAAUCUCCAAAUCAUCACAUGGUAGAAGAACUAUGCAAGAGUUCCCAACCCUCAAAGAGUAAAUGGGAAAGCAACAUUGAUUAGGUUCAGCCAUUGUAGUUUCAGCUUAUUUGUUAGAAAAGAUACCAAUUUUCCUGCAUUGAUCUACCAGCAGUGUUCCAAACCUUGGGUAUGCAGUGGUGGGAGCCUAUGAUACUUGGGAUGCAUACAAAGAGCAUUUUUAUAGCAGUUUGGUCCAUGCUUAUAGAGAUGCAAUUUGUUUUAUUAAUGACAGAGAUUACUCUUGAUAUAUACUAAUCCCAGUGCCUCUGUGGCUACUAAGGGAAUAUUCCCACUAGGGUCUUUUCCAUCAUCGAUGGAGAAGAUUCUUCCUGUGGUUUCAUUGAUAGCAACUAAAAAAGUUCUGUCUGUCUGUCUGUCUGUCUGUCUCUUGGGAUAUACUUUGUUCAUUUUCACCAGUUCAAAUGAGAAAUCACUGUUGCCAAUUUGACAAACUUCAAGUUUGGGAGAAUAAAGGAAAUCUUCACACCGGCCUUGUGUAGGGGCAGAAGAGAUGCGUAGCACAGGCUCCAGUUUCCCUGAGUGGAGGAAAUGCUGCUGCUAUUCUCGAGUCUCUUUGGUGAUGUCGAAACUACGGUUCCAGUGUAGAAAGAACAUGCUUUGGAUUGACAUGGCCAACUGUCACUGUGAGAUCACAUUUGCACAAUAAUGAGAUGAUAUCAAUAUCAGAAGGCUGAUACAAGAAUUAAAGAAGAUAAAU
rnacentral:lncRNA from 1 species